ACCGACGUAGGUCGCUUACGUGUGGUGUGCAUGUGUAUGUGUGUGUGUGUGUGUGUGUGUGUGUGUGAGAGAGAGAGAGAAAGAGAGAACACACAGACUCAACCGGUGCGCACGUGCACGUAGGUAUACGCAUGUAGGUACACGCGGGGUAAGCCAUCGUGGCUUCAUUCACGUCAGAUGUGAGGCGACCACGUCAUUUAUCUGCCAGCCAGCCGGGCUAACGAUGCAUUGCUUGUUUGUUGGCCGAAGUCGUGACAUCGCUAUAUAGACCGCGCGCGCGGCCGCGCAUUCGUACACGAAAUGCAGAUGCACACGUUCUUGAGGAUGGAAAUAAGUGAAUUACGCCGCGAGCAGCGCCAGCUGUGCGAAAUGGUGUUACAAUGAAGCAGAUGCAUACUUGACACUUGGUGGGAAAAAAAAAAAAAACAGAAAACGGAGAGGACACAGGAAAAUUACGCUAAAUUAAGACAUUAACUUAGUCGUUGGAAAAGUUCAGUUCUGAAGAAACAAGCAAGAGUCCAUGUUGCGCGGAGACAUUUCAGAAUGCAAUGGAAAAGGUAACCACUUGAUUCAGCCUCUGCGAAAUACUCGUCGUAAAUGCCGACGAAAUCAUCGACGA